CCUACGGGUGGCUGCAGUGAGGAAUAUUGGUCAAUGGACGAGAGUCUGAACCAGCCAAGUAGCGUGAAGGAUGACUGCCCUAUGGGUUGUAAACUUCUUUUAUAUGGGAAUAAAACGUUCCACGUGUGGGAUUUUGUCUGUACCAUAUGAAUAAGGAUCGGCUAACUCCGUGCCAGCAGCCGCGGUGAUACGGAGGAUCCGAGCGUUAUCCGUAUUUAUUGGGUUUAAAGGGAGCGUAGGUGGAUUGUUAAGUUAGUUGUGAAAGUUUGCGGCUCAACCGUAAAAUUGCAGUUGAAACUGGCAGUGUUGAGUACAGUAGAGGUGGGCGGAAUUCGUGGUGUAGCGGUGAAAUGCUUAGAUAUCACGAAGAACUCCGAUUGCGAAGGCAGUUCACUGGACUGCAACUGACACUGAGGCUCGAAAGUGUGGGUAUCAAACAGGAGUAGAUACCCCUGUAGUC
rnacentral:rRNA from 1 species